rnacentral:rRNA from 1 species
UUGUUAAGUUUGGUGUUAAAGAUUGGGGCUCAACCCUGAAACUGCACUGAAUACUGGCAGACUCGAGUGUGGUAGAGGCUAGUGGAAUUCCCAGUGUAGCGGUGAAAUGCGUAGAUAUUGGGAAGAACACCGGUGGCGUAGGCGACUAGCUGGGCCAUAACUGACACUGAGGAACGAAAGCCAGGGGAGCGAAUGGGAUUAGAUACCCCAGUAGUCCUGGCCGUAAACGAUGGAUACUAGGCGUAUCGGGUAUCGACCCCUGAUGUGCCGCAGCUAACGCGAUAAGUAUCCCGCCUGAGUAGUACGGCCGCAAGGUUGAAACUCAAAGGAAUUGACGGGGGCCCGCACAAGCGGUGGAACAUGUGGUUUAAUUCGAAGCAACGCGAAGAAUCUUACCAGGGCUUGACAUGGUAGGAACCUUUAGGAAACUAGAGGGUGCCCGCAAGGGAGCCUACACACAGCUGGUGCAUGGCUGUCGUCAGCUCGUGUCGUGAGAUGCUGGGUUAAGUCCCGCAACGAGCGCAACCCCCGUUGUUAGUUGCCAUCAGGUAAUGCUGGGCACUCUAGCGAGACUGCCGGUGACAAACCGGAGGAAGGUGGGGACGACGUCAAGUCAUCAUGCCCCUUAUGCCCUGGGCUACACACGUGUUACAAUGGUUGGGACAAUGUGAUGCAAUCCCGCGAGGGGGAGCGAACCACCAAACCCAAUCUCAGUUCGGAUCGCAGGCUGCAACUCGCCUGCGUGAAGUCGGAAUCGCUAGUAACC